rnacentral:tRNA from 52 species
GGGUCUGUAGCUCAGUUGGUUAGAGCGCACCCCUGAUAAGGGUGAGGUCGGAGGUUCAAAUCCUCCCAGACCCACCA